UACGGGGGGGGCAAGCGUUGUUCGGAAUUACUGGGCGUAAAGGGCUCGUAGGUGGCCAACUAAGUCAGACGUGAAAUCCCUCGGCUUAACCGGGGAACUGCGUCUGAUACUGGAUGGCUUGAGUUCGGGAGAGGGAUGCGGAAUUCCAGGUGUAGCGGUGAAAUGCGUAGAUAUCGGGAGGAACACCAGUGGCGAAGGCGGUUAGCUGGCCUGUAACUGACACUGAGGCGCGAAGGCUAGGGGAGCGAACAGG
rnacentral:rRNA from 1 species